rnacentral:rRNA from 1 species
ACUCAAAGGAAUUGACGGGGACCCGCACAAGCGGUGGAGCAUGUGGUUUAAUUCGAUGCAACGCGAAGAACCUUACCUGGUCUUGACAUCCUCGGAACUUGUCAGAGAUGACUUGGUGCCUUCGGGAACCGAGAGACAGGUGCUGCAUGGCUGUCGUCAGCUCGUGUCGUGAGAUGUUGGGUUAAGUCCCGCAACGAGCGCAACCCUUGUCCCUAGUUGCCAUCAUUCAGUUGGGCACUCUAGGGAGACCGCCGGUGACAAAUCGGAGGAAGGUGGGGACGACGUCAAGUCAUCAUGGCCCUUAUGACCAGGGCUACACACGUGCUACAAUGGCCAGUACAGAGGGUUGCCAACCCGCAAGGGGGAGCUAAUCCCAGAAAGCUGGUCGUAGUCCAGAUCGGAGUCUGCAACUCGACUCCGUGAAGUCGGAAUCGCUAGUAAUCGCGAAUCAGCAUUGUCGCGGUGAAUACGUUCCCGGGUCUUGUACACACCGCCCGU